rnacentral:rRNA from 1 species
CCUACGGGAGGCAGCAGUGAGGAAUAUUGGUCAAUGGACGAGAGUCUGAACCAGCCAAGUAGCGUGAAGGAUGACUGCCCUAUGGGUUGUAAACUUCUUUUAUAUGGGAAUAAAAUGUUCCACGUGUGGGAUUUUGUAUGUACCAUAUGAAUAAGGAUCGGCUAACUCCGUGCCAGCAGCCGCGGUAAUACGGAGGAUCCGAGCGUUAUCCGGAUUUAUUGGGUUUAAAGGGAGCGUAGGUGGAUUGUUAAGUCAGUUGUGAAAGUUUGCGUCUCAACCGUAAAAUUGCAGUUGAAACUGGCAGUCUUGAGUACAGUAGAGGUGGGCGGAAUUCGUGGUGUAGCGGUGAAAUGCUUAGAUAUCACGAAGAACUCCGAUUGCGAAGGCAGUUCACUGGACUGCAACUGACACUGAGGCUCGAAAGUGUGGGUAUCAAACAGGAUUAGAUACCCCUGUAGUC